rnacentral:rRNA from 2 species
UUGACCUCGGAUCAGGUAGGGAUACCCGCUGAACUUAAGCAUAUCAAUAAGCGGAGGAAAAGAAACCAACAGGGAUUGCCUUAGUAACGGCGAGUGAAGCGGCAAUAGCUCAAAUUUGAAAGCUGGCGCCUUCGGCGUCCGCGUUGUAAUUUGUAGAGGAUGCUUCGGCGAGGACUCCUGCCUAAGUCCCCUGGAACGGGGCGUCACAGAGGGUGAGAAUCCCGUAUGUGGCGGGCGGUCCGAGCCAUGUGAAGCUCCUUCGACGAGUCGAGUUGUUUGGGAAUGCAGCUCUAAAUGGGAGGUAAAUUUCUUCUAAAGCUAAAUAUUGGCCAGAGACCGAUAGCGCACAAGUAGAGUGAUCGAAAGAUGAAAAGCACUUUGGAAAGAGAGUUAAAAAGUACGUGAAAUUGUUGAAAGGGAAGCGCUUGCAACCAGACUCGCUCGCAGUUGCUCAGCCGGCCUCUUGGCCGGUGUACUCUUCUGCGGUCGGGCCAGCAUCAGUUCGGGCGGCCGGAUAAAGGUGACGGGAAUGUAGCACCCUUCGGGGUGUGUUAUAGCCCGUCGCGGAAUGCGGCCAGCCUGGACUGAGGAUCUCGCUUCGGCAAGGAUGCUGGCGUAAUGGUUGUAAGCGGCCCGUCU